UUGGCGGAGAAAGAUUCAGACCACCAAAUUUACAAGUUAUUAAGAGUGACUUCCCUUAGCGAAAGAAAUUCUGCAGAAAAAAAGUUGCUGAAAUUGAGUUUUUUCACAAGCUAAUCAUUGAAAGCAUCAGAAGAAAACCAUGGAUGUGUUAGUUGAGUUCAUGCUUUAUCAUAUCCAAGAUCAAAUUAUAUUCGAUUAUGGUCAAAUGGAAGGGGUAGGCUGAGAUCUGCUUGGAUUUUCAAUUUCUAAAUCAUUUGAUGUGACCAAAAGGCAUUUAGUUAACAAAGCAUUUAGGAAGGUCAAAUGGAAGGGGUCGGCUGAAUCUGCUGGGAUUUUAAUUUCUAAAUAAUUUGAUGUGACAAAAGACAUUUAGUUAACAAAGCAUUCAGGAAGUAUAUGCAAAUAAAAGAGGUCCUUACAAUGGCUUCACAAGAAAGGGCUAUCAUUAUGGAAAAAUGUUAUGUCCGGAAAAAGAGUCAAACAAAGAUGCUGGAAAUGUUUGAUAUAGCAUAAGAAACUGUUUUAGCUAUUGUCAGAGAAUGUAAAGGUCAUCACUCUGGACUUGGCAAGCUCAAAAUGCCACAAAAUAUUGUCAGCUAUGAGCUGCAGAGCCUGCAGUCAAACAGUCCUGGAUGCUUUUGAAUAUGUGUCACCUAAGUAAAAUGGACUAUAGCAAAACUAUGGCCAGUGAUAUGAUUUUGAAAAAAUAAAAUUACGGUAUUUUGUUAUAGCGUUAUGGCUUAAGCUAUGACUGUGUCGUAGAAAAUCUGAUUAUUUCUUGUCAGUCGGAGUUACCAUGGCACAAGGAGUAAACUGGAUGGAAGAAGCUUAUAUAUUUUAUAUAUAUGAUACCUAUAAUUGAAUGCAACAUGGAACUUAUAGCAGACUCGCACUGAAUAUCAGCAUUGGGACGAAUAUAAGUCAUUAAUUAGCCAUGGUUCCAAAAUUCUUCAGUGGUACAAGCACCAAAAAUCAAAUACUUUACAUAACACAUUACACUGAAUACAUGUAAAUCACUGGAUUAUUAAGUCAGAGGAACCAUGUAUUGUUAAUCAUCGUACCUUAGAAUUAUAUACCGAUUCUAAUUAAAGGAUGAUAUGAAAAUCAGCCAUUGGUUUAAGAAAAAAAUCUUGUAAGCAGAAAGUUAAUCAUUGCAAAGAAAAUCUUCCCUACAUCUGAAAAUCGGUUACACCAAGUAAUGUGCGAUGUCAAACGGGGAAAUUUGCUUCAGACAUUCUUUUAUAAUUUAAGAUUCAAAGCUUAAAGUUUUGGUUUCAAACCUGGUCUAUGACAAGAUUGGAUAACUAAUAUAGUAAUGAUAAAAGUGUUUUGAAUAGUGUUGUGAAAGGUCAAAGUUAGGAAUUAUGUGAAUUUGUGCAAUUCCGAAUUCAGUGUGCAAAUAUUUUUUUUCGCUAUAUGCGUGUUUUCUUUUCUAGUGUGUGUUAUUCUUAUUGGAUUUAUUAUGAAAGCUGUAUUCAUGGACUGAAAGAAUUCCUGGAUAAUGCUAAGAACAAAUAAAAGACAGUAUGACAUGAAGGCAAUAAAGCAUAUUGCACAUAAUUCCAGCCAGAUUCAUUUGUAGAAUGGGCACAUUCGUUUUUUAUUGGGAGCCAGGUUGACAUUGAUUGCUUCGUCUGUCAGUCAGAGAAAUAGGAAAUCAUAUGAUCUGGUCGGAAACAAAGACUGGAAGUUACUGGAACAAAGGUGAUGGUAAUGGUAGUGACACUGAAUUGUGGCUGCAGUGUUAUCCAAGAUGAAUUUACCCCAUUGUAGAUUGUCUGAAUGGAAAACAAAGGGGUGUACCAACAAAAUCACUACCAUGUGGUUGCAUCUGAUUAUCACUGAAACAGGGACUGUGUGUGAUGUAAUGAAAUUAUAAGACACUCUGCAGUGACGAGAUGUGCAAAAAUAGAGGACAGUUUUCUCCUGUGACUGAACAAAGUCCUGUGACCGAACAACAGUUUCCUACUGUGACCAUAUAAAAUUGUGUGACAGUUUCCUGCCGUGUGACUGUUUCUAACUCUGAUUAAGUGUAAUUUUCCUAAUGUGACACGAUUUUCUAAUGUGACAAAGUAAAAUUUUGUGUGAAAAGCUUUCAAAGUAGACUUGAUAGAUCAACAACAACAACAAUAGCAAACUUUGUGAACAACUUCUUUUUUAAUUGGACACUUAUGCAAAUGAAGAAAAAAACAUUAUUUAUAGUUUUAUUAACUGAAAACAUUAUACCAAAGACUGUAUUAUUACAUUUACAUUAUAUGAAUGGCCCUUGAAACACUUCAAUUAAAACAGGCAGUCCUCUAUAUAUAAUAAAUCAUACACAUAUAA